CGGCUGCUUUGUUGAGCCGUC
rnacentral:snRNA from 1 species